CCCAGACUCCUACGGGAGGCAGCAGUGGGGAAUAUUGCACAAUGGGGGAAACCCUGAUGCAGCGACGCCGCGUGAGUGAAGAAGUAUUUCGGUAUGUAAAGCUCUAUCAGCAGGGAAGAAAAACCGACCAUAGGGUCGCUAGACGGUACCUGAUUAAGAAGCCCCGGCUAACUACGUGCCAGCAGCCGCGGUAAUACGUAGGGGGCAAGCGUUAUCCGGAUUUACUGGGUGUAAAGGGAGCGUAGACGGCAGCGCAAGUCUGAAGUGAAAUGCCGGGGCUUAACCCCGGGACUGCAUUUGGAACUGUGCUGCUAGAGUGUCGGAGAGGCAGGCGGAAUUCCUAGUGUAGCGGUGAAAUGCGUAGAUAUUAGGAGGAACACCAGUGGCGAAGGCGGCCUGCUGGACGAUGACUGACGUUGAGGCUCGAAAGCGUGGGGAGCAAACAGGAUUAGAUACCCUUGUAACA
rnacentral:rRNA from 1 species